AACGUAGGACGCGAGCGUUAUCCGGAGUUACUGGGCGUAAAGAGCGUGUAGGCGGACUGGAAGGUCUGGUGUGAAAGCCCGGGGCUCAACCCCGGAGGGUCACUGGAAACCGACAGUCUUGAAUCUGGAAGAGGAGAGUGGAAUUCCUGGUGUAGCGGUGGAAUGCGCAGAUAUCAGGAGGAACACCAAUGGCGAAGGCAGCUCUCUGGUACAUGAUUGACGCUGAGACGCGAAAGCGUGGGGAGCGAACAGG
rnacentral:rRNA from 1 species